rnacentral:rRNA from 1 species
GUAGUCCACGCUGUAAACGAUGAUCACUAGAUGUCGGGGGUCUUACCCCUCCGGUGUCGUAGCUAACGCGUUAAGUGAUCCGCCUGGGAAGUACGGUCGCAAGAUUAAAACUCAAAGAAAUUGACGGGGGCCCGCACAAGCAGUGGAGUAUGUGGUUUAAUUCGAUGCAACGCGCAGAACCUCACCUAGGCUUGACAUCCACCGCUAUUCUCCGAAAGGAGAAGUUCCCGCAAGGGACGGUGAGACAGGUGCUGCAUGGCUGUCGUCAGCUCGUGUCGUGAGAUGUUGGGUUAAGUCCCGCAACGAGCGCAACCCUUGCCAUUAGUUGCCAGCAUUAAGUUGGGCACUCUAAUGGGACCGCUAGUCGAUAAGACAGA